rnacentral:rRNA from 1 species
AGUGAACGCUGGCGGUAGGCCUAACACAUGCAAGUCGAACGGCAGCACACUAAGAGCUGGCUCUUACGGGUGGCGAGUGGCGGACGAGUGAUGAAUACAUCGGAAUCUACUUUUUCGUGGGGGAUGACGUAGGGGAACUUACGCUAAUACCGCAUACGACCUACGGGUGAAAGCAGGGGAUCUUCGGACCUUGGGCGAUUGAAUGAGCCGUUAGCGGAUUAGCUAGUUGGCGGGGUAAAGGCCCACCAAGGCGACGAUCCGUAGCUGGUCUGAGAGGAUGUACCGCCCCUCUGGAGGUGCGCCACGGUCCUGCCUCCUACGGGCGGCCGCAGUGGGGACUGUUGGACGAUGGGCGCAAGAUUGCUCCAGCGGUGCCACGUGGGUGAAGCGGGCCUUCGGGUUGUAAAGCGGGUUUCUUGGGAUAGACAAGUAGCACGAUAAACCCACGCUGUUGUGACGGUACCUAAAUAAUAAGCACCGGCUAACUUCGUG